rnacentral:rRNA from 1 species
UACGUAGGGUGCGAGCGUUGUCCGGAAUUAUUGGGCGUAAAGAGCUCGUAGGCGGUGUGUCACGUCGGCCGUGAAAACCUGCAGCUUAACUGUGGGCGUGCGGUCGAUACGGGCAUCACUGGAGUUCGGCAGGGGAGACUGGAAUUCCUGGUGUAGCGGUGAAAUGCGCAGAUAUCAGGAGGAACACCGAUGGCGAAGGCAGCCCCCUGGGCUGAGAUUGACGCUCAGGCACGAAAGCGUGGGGAGCAAACAGG